rnacentral:ncRNA from 1 species
GGGACAGAUGAUUAGGGUGAAGUCGUAACAAGGUAGCCGUAGGAGAACCUGCGGCUGGAUCACCUCCUUU